UACGGAGGGGGGCUAGCGUUGCUCGGAAUCACUGGGCGUAAAGCGCACGUAGGCGGAUCUUUAAGUCAGAGGUGAAAUCCCAAGGCUCAACCUUGGAACUGCCUUUGAUACUGGGGAUCUUGAGUCCGGGAGAGGUGAGUGGAACUGCGAGUGUAGAGGUGAAAUUCGUAGAUAUUCGCAAGAACACCAGUGGCGAAGGCGGCUCACUGGCCCGGUACUGACGCUGAGGUGCGAAAGCGUGGGGAGCAAACAGG
rnacentral:rRNA from 1 species